rnacentral:rRNA from 1 species
AGAGUUUGAUCAUGGCUCAGAAUCAACGCUGGCGGCGUGCCUAACACAUGCAAGUCGAACGAGAAAGUGGAGCAAUCCAUGAGUAAAGUGGCGCACGGGUGAGUAACACGUGACUAACCUACCCUGGAGUGGGGGAUAACUGAGGGAAACCUUAGCUAAUACCGCAUAACACCUACGGGUCAAAGGAGCAAUUCGCUUUAGGAGGGGGUCGCGGCAGAUUAGCUAGUUGGCGGGGUAAUGGCCCACCAAGGCAGUGAUCUGUAUCCGGCCUGAGAGGGCGCACGGACACACUGGAACUGAAACACGGUCCAGACUCCUACGGGAGGCAGCAGUGGGGAAUUUUGCGCAAUGGGGGAAACCCUGACGCAGCAACGCCGCGUGGAGGAUGAAGUCCCUUGGGACGUAAACUCCUUUCGAUCGGGACGAUUAUGACGGUACCGGAAGAAGAAGCCCCGGCUAACUUCGUGCCAGCAGCCGCGGUAAUACGAGGGGGGCGAGCCGGAAUUAUUGGGCGUAAAGGGUGCGUAGGCGUGGUAAGUCUUGUGUGAAAUCUUCGGGCUCAACUCGAAGUCUGCACGAGAAACUGCCGGGCUUGAGUAUGGGAGAGGUGAGUGGAAUUCCCGGUGUAGCGGUGAAAUGCGUAGAUUCGGGAGGAACACCUGUGGCGAAAGCGGCUCACUGGACCAUAACUGACGCUGAGGCACGAAAGCUAGGGGAGCAAACAGGAUUAGAUACCCUAGUAGUCC